GUUUCCAUAGUGUAAUGGUUAUCACAUUUGCCUAACACGCAAACGGUCCCCAGUUCGAAACUGGGUGGAAAGA